GCCAGGGUAGCAAUACCUGUGUCUAUAUGUGGCAUAAACAAUGUAGGUUGUGAUAGAUAGGAUAUGAGAGUUUGAUGAGACAGUUUGCUAAGAGUGUGCCCGCUCCAAACAAUGAGUUGCUAUGGUGGUAACCUAGUAAUAGGACUCCACCAGGGCAUUAAAGAGCUAAGGAAACGCCUCAGGCUGGCAACAGAACAGGGAAAACUUGCCGCUUGUUGUGGUGGAAGGAUAACAUACUCAUUAACUGUCAAACUAAUCGUUCUACUAUCAAAGCCAGACAUUGCUUUUU
rfam:Tetrahymena thermophila SB210 genomic scaffold scf_8254688, whole genome shotgun sequence.